GAUGAACGCCGGCGGUGUGCCUAAUACAUGCAAGUCGUACGCACUGGCCCAACUGAUUGAUGGUGCUUGCACCUGAUUGACGAUGGAUCACCAGUGAGUGGCGGACGGGUGAGUAACACGUAGGUAACCUGCCCCGGAGCGGGGGAUAACAUUUGGAAACAGAUGCUAAUACCGCAUAACAACAAAAGCCGCAUGGUUUUUGUUUGAAAGAUGGCUUUGGCUAUCACUCUGGGAUGGACCUGCGGUGCAUUAGCUAGUUGGUAAGGUAACGGCUUACCAAGGCGAUGAUGCAUAGCCGAGUUGAGAGACUGAUCGGCCACAAUGGAACUGAGACACGGUCCAUACUCCUACUGGAGGCGGCAGUAGGGAAUCUUCCACAAUGGGCGCAAGCCUGAUGGAGCAACACCGCGUGAGUGAAGAAGGGUUUCGGCUCGUAAAGCUCUGUUGUUGGAGAAGAACGUGCGUGAGAGUAACUGUUCACGCAGUGACGGUAUCCAACCAGAAAGUCACGGCUGACUAC
rnacentral:rRNA from 1 species